GGUCUACUGAGCAUGACCCUUUGUGGAUUCUGGAAUCAAGAGCAGGUAGGGAGGCACUGUUCUUGUCCCGGGGAUACAAAAGCAAAUGAAACAGAAAAGAAAGAUCCUUAUCUCAUGGAUCUGUAGGCAGCAGUCCUCAAAGGGUGGUCCAGAUCCUGGAGGCUGGAGGGCCCUGUUCUUGAGAACCUUUCAGGGGGGAGAUGUGUGAGGCCAAAACUAUUUUCACCGCAGCACGAGGUUGCUAUUUGCCAUCUUCCUUUUCAUUCUCUAAUGGAUAUGGUAGAAUUUUCCAGAGGUUACAUGGCAUGUA